rnacentral:rRNA from 1 species
UACGUAGGGUGCAAGCGUUAAUCGGAAUUACUGGGCGUAAAGCGUGCGCAGGCGGUUUUGUAAGUCUGUCGUGAAAUCCCCGGGCUCAACCUGGGAAUUGCGAUGGAGACUGCAAGGCUAGAAUCUGGCAGAGGGGGGUAGAAUUCCACGUGUAGCAGUGAAAUGCGUAGAGAUGUGGAGGAACACCAAUGGCGAAGGCAGCCCCCUGGGUCAAGAUUGACGCUCAUGCACGAAAGCGUGGGGAGCAAACAGG